rnacentral:misc_RNA from 1 species
AAAGUCGUAACAAGGUUUCCGUAGGUGAACCUGCGGAAGGAUCAUUACCUUUCAAUGCAGCAGAAUCGGGAUGGUUGAGUAUCUCGCCUCUCAGUUCUGCCUGUAUUCUACCCUUGUUUCUCUUACACUAUUAUUUCCUCGGCAGGCUUGCCUGCCGAGUGAAACCACUUAUAACCUAUUUAAUUUUCAAUCAGCGUCUGAAAACUAUAAUAAUUACAACUUUCAACAACGGAUCUCUUGGUUCUG